rnacentral:rRNA from 1 species
CGGUAACAGGUCUUCGGAUGCUGACGAGUGGCGAACGGGUGAGUAAUGCAUCGGAACGUGCCCAGUCGUGGGGGAUAACGCAGCGAAAGCUGUGCUAAUACCGCAUACGAUCUAUGGAUGAAAGCGGGGGAUCGCAAGACCUCGCGCGAUUGGAGCGGCCGAUGUCAGAUUAGCUAGUUGGUGGGGUAAAGGCCCACCAAGGCGACGCUCUGUAGCUGGUCUGAGAGGACGACCAGCCACACUGGGACUGAGACACGGCCCAGACUCCUACGGGAGGCAGCAGUGGGGAAUUUUGGACAAUGGGCGCAAGCCUGAUCCGGCAAUGCCGCGUGCAGGAAGAAGGCCUUCGGGUUGUAAACUGCUUUUGUACGGAACGAAAAGGUCUGGGUUAAUACCCUGGGCUCAUGACGGUACCGUAAGAAUAAGCACCGGCUAACUACGUGCCAGCAGCCGCGGUAAUA